GCGGAGUGGGCAGGGCCGGGCUGGAGGGGGCGGGGUGACUAAAGGAGCAUGGAAAUUCAAGGAACUGGGGGAUUCAAGUUGCCGGUACUGGAAGCGCCAGGAGGACCGGGCUGUAAGAAGACUGGGCUGAGUUCUGCACUUCGGGGUGGAACUAGUCGGACCCAAGAUUAAAGAGCAUAGCAGGAAAAGGGAAGACUAUUUUGCUGAUGAAAGAUUAAAGCGGGCCUGUACUGGGCGGAGCGAUGCAGCGGUGAGAGGAUCAUCAGUCUAUUGGCUGAUGAAGUUUGCUUGAGAACAGCUGCAGUAGUCUUUCCACGGUCUGAGGACGGAAGCAAUCUCGAUGUCUCCAUCUCUCUGUCUCUGGCUUCUCCUGUGUUCUCUUAGUAACCUCACAGGCACCAUUGUCUCAGCAGUGGAGAUAUCCUCUCUGAAUGGGACCGUGGGAAAAUCUAUCCUGCUCUGUAUAGCCACAGAUUAUGGAAAUGAGACUCGGUCAAUUGAAUGGAUUGAUAAGACUCGCAAUCAACUCCUGUUCAAGAUCCAGCCAGGAGAAAGUGAGUCAAACUGGACUACCGCCCAGGACACAUACAAAGGGAGGCUGUCUGUACAUGAUAUGCGUUGUCUGAAGAUUGAGAAUCUGACCUCUGAAGACAGUGGUCUCUAUGAAGUAGAAAUCAAGUUGAACACUGGAGAAAUAAAACCUCAGAUCUUCAACGUGACUGUGUCUGGCACUGUGACUACAGGAUCCAACAUGAAACCACGGAAUUACUGGAUCUCAAUUGGCAUCCCAGUGGGUAUAGUCUGUGUUGUCCUCCUAGGGAUCGGAGUCCUGCUGUGUAAAGGCUUUUUCAAAAAAAGAAAAACGCCACAAGUGCAAAAUCUCAAGGAUGAGAGAAGACUAGAGGAGGGAAGGGCAGCUCAUCCAAAUGAUUUCCCUUCACAUCAAGAAUUCCAGAUUAAGGAAACAUACAGAGCCUGUAAAAAUGAACUCCCAACCCUUGAAGGAAAUUCUCCUGUGGAAAGUCUUUCUUCUUCUCGGGAUCCUCUCCUGGACACUAGUCACCCUGGACAGACUGAAGGGAGCCAACCUGAGAAGUACAAAGUCAACAUGUCUCAAUCAGACUGCCUACUGCCCCCCAUCCAUUCCUCAGGUUCCUCAGUCCCUGUUGGAAAUCAAACACACUGAAACCAACCAGGACCCUCCAUUCAUAAUCUGCAUGGUUGGCCAAAGGAAAGAGCUACCCUUUCUCCUCCCUUUAUCCAUGCUAGGACUAACUAAAGGGACCUCCUUCCUCAAAUGUUGCAGUAGAUUAAUAGAAUUAUCUGGGGAUUAAUAGAUUAAUAGAUAAUUAAUAGAUAAUAGUAGAUUAAUAGAAUUAUCCCCAUGGCUACUGGGACUUUAGGGUCAAUGAAGGAGGUAUCCCAACAUACAAGGAGGCUGGUGAAAAGAAAAAAGUCAAAGCUAAGUUUUUCCUCAGCUGGGGCAUAAUCUAGACCCAUGGUGGCAAACCUAUAGCACUGUCAAUAUGGAAUCUAGGAAUCCUAAACUUGAUACUGUUAACUUGGAAAUAACACAGAACUAUUAAAUAGUCAGAAAAACCAAGUCUUUAAUCAAGAUAGGGAUAAGUCCAAUUUGGCCCUUUACUCAGAGUUGGCACCACAUCCUUUUCAGGGUGCAAACCCUGGACUCUGGGGAUGUUAUCCCUAGGGAGAGCCACAACGCUAGAUGACAACUCCAAGGAACAAAAGAACUUGGGGAACCUAUAUACUCUUUGGAAAUCCAGGGGCAGGGAAUGAUGAUUGACAUUACUAUGGCUACAAGGAAAAUGGGAGUGUUCAAAGUACACUGAUAAGAUACAAUCAAGCUAGAAGCUAGGGUGCAAGAGAAGGGGGCUGCUUACAAUGGUUACUAAAGGAUGGUUCAUGCCCAGGUCUGACCUUCCUGAGAAAGGUUCUAAUAUAAUAGGGGACACUACCUAAAACAAAGAAAGUCCUUAGCAUAUGCUUAUCUCAACCAACCAGAAUUAUCAUUUCCCUUCAGGGUAGAUUCUAUGGGACCAGGGAAAAGGGACAAGCUUUUGGAAUCUCCAAUCUACAAGCUAAAUCUAAAAUUGGGGUUCAUCAGAUCCCACUAGGCCACAAGUUUGGGAUUCCUAAAUUCCAUGUUGACAUUACCUAGUGAGAUCUGAUGAACCCCAAUUUUCAGGACUAGCUUGUAGAUUGGAGACCCCAAAGCUUGUACUUGUUCCCUGUUCCCAUGGGAAUCUACCCUGAAGGGAAAUGACAAUCCUGGUUGGGUGAGAUAAACAUAUGCUAAGGACCCUCUUUGUUUUAGGUAGUCUCCCCUAUUGUAUCAGACCCUUUCCCAAGAAGAUCCACACCUGAGCAGGAACCAUUCUUUAGUAUCCAUUGUAAGCAGCCCCUUCUCUUAUACCCUAACCUCUAGCUAUGAUUCUUUGCCCAAGCUUGAUUGUAUCUUGUCAAUGUAGUUUGAACACUCCCAUUUUCUUUGUAGCCAUAGUGAUGUCAAUCAUCUUUCCCUACCCCUCGGUUUUCCCAAAUGGUAUAUAAGUUCCCCAAAUUCUUUUGUUCCUUGGCGUCCAUCCUGAGUCGGUGGCACUCCCAGGGGUCAGUGACCAGGGCAUCUAGACUCUGUGCAGUCUUGGGAAGCAGCUCUGUUGUCGUACUUAGUAGCGCUAACCCCUUUUCCCUUGAUUAAAGAGUGAUUUUGACUAUUUAAUAGUUUGACAUUAAUGGAGGUCCCACCGAGAUCUGAAGUCUCUGCUGCCUGAGCCCUCCUGCUAACGAGGACCUCACACAACCCGUUUGGGGUUGGGUCAGGAGUCUGGAUAGCAAGGGCCAGGUAAGCAGCUCUCUCCGAGGUAGGACUCACACGUCUGGUUUGGAGUGACUCGCUCUUUAAUUAAGGGAUUCUUAGUUGAGCUCUUUAAUUAAGGGAUUCUUAGUUGAGCACCUGUGGGGUACACAGCCACAUGGUCCAUAUUCACCUGGGCGCUAUAGGACAUGGGUAACAGCUUGUCUGUUGUCCCAAAAAUUGGUGGGGGCAGUCAGCAGCCCAGUGGGGGCAGUCAGCAGCCCAAAGAACCACCUAAUGAUAUGGCCAUUUUAAGGUUUGAGAAGAUGAGAAGAUGGCAGAGUCUGGCCCCAACACAUAUUGGACAACAUGGGGUCUAGUUUAACCUGGCUUCAAUUUUUUUUUAAUUUUUUUUUUCAAAUUUUUCAAUUAUUUAAAAAAAAUAUAUUUUUUCAAUUUAUUUUUUCAAUGAGUUUAAUUAGAUUUUGGGUGUGUGUGUUAGUGCCUGUGUGAGUGCAACAGUGUCUAUGCUAAAGGUGAGGGCAAGGAGAGCAGUUCAGAAGCAUGAAAGUUUGGCUGAAAGUUUUGAAUGGGAAGCUUGAGUUGGAGUGUGAGAGCCUGAGUGUUCAAUUGCGAGUCUGAGUAAGUUGAUUAAAAUAGAGAAAAUUUCUUCAUGAAUUGAGAUGCCAUGGCUUAAGGUUUAAGUGGUUAUAAAGUUUUGAAAAAAAAGCUUCUCAUAGAAGCUUAAGAACUUAAGUUCUGGAUUUCUUCUCAAAAAAUUUUGUGGGCUUUUGCUUAUAUUGUAUGUCUAAUGUACUUAUUAGGCGGAGACCACUAAUAAUUUCAAAUGCUUGUGAUUUAAAGGUUAGCAAAUAAUGUCUGAAAGUUGUGUUAACAAUGAAUUCCUCCCAAAAGUUGAAGAGGCAAGACUGGAGCUGGUGAUCUGUGUUAUGGGCAGGAAGGAUACCCUUUGGGGUUCGGGCAGGAUACCUUUUGCAAGCAUGCAAUGACUCCAAAACUUAGCUUAAAAACAAAAAGAGAUUUAUUAAUUUAGAGAGUAAUGUUGAGAGUGGCCAGGAGGAUAGCAAGGUAGAACAGCAAGAUGGGGAGCAGUUCUUGGGAGGACAGCAUGAAAGGAAAGGCUGUUCCCCCAUGGGGACAGCAUGGAUGGAGAGGCUGUCCCCCAGACGACAUCAGUUCUGGGGUUUAUAUACUCUUUAGAUGCUAUGUCCUGGUGUGGACUUGACCGGAGUGUUAGUCCCUCAGGCAUUUGGUGGGGUGGGGUGGUCAUCUGACUGGGGUCUGCCUGGAGGCAUAAAGAUUCAUUUCUUUGUCCACCUUAAAUCUAGAGGACAAAAGAGGGUAAACAUCUCAGGACCCUGGGUGGGGUCUUUGGGUGUUUCUAGGUUAAAAGUCACAAGGAUGCAAGGGCAAAGGAGUUUCCUGAUAAUAGUUCUCCUGGGUUUCUGGGGUACAGUGCCCAUGUCACUAUGAUGCGUGAAUAUCCAUCAGGAGGCAAAAGGAGGUCCAGAAAUUCUUAACUUUAAGGUCUAAUUUUUCGUUCCAAAGUUUUGGUAUGGUUAAUGUAUGAAAUAUUGUGUAUCAAGUGCAGUUAAUAUUGGUAACAAGGUGCAUUGUAUUCUAGGUAUUAACCUGGUUAUUUGAGUGCUAUAAUUUCAUGUUUUUUUUUUUUCCAAGCUGUUAAUUUUUUUAAAAUAGCAAGGUAUGUGUGAGUUCUGGAGUGAAGAAAUUUCAUUUUAGGAUGGUUAACUACAGACCUUACUGGUCACUGAAUGGUUGUAAAUGACAAGAAAUAAUAAUUAUAUUAUAAUAUAUAUGUUGUUGUAUAUAAAUGUUGUAAAUAAGAAAUUGGGGAAAAGGAAUUGCUUUAAAUGGUAAGGAAGCCCUGAACAUUUUUAACUGACCAACAAAUUUCCUCUUUAGGAGCAGCUUUAGCCUUAGGCCAAAGUGGUUUGAGGCAAGGAUAAGAAAGGCAAACUUGGAGCCAAAGGCAAAUUAAGAGUCGGAAAAAAAAAGAGAAGAGAAAAGAAAGGAAUUGUAGUGUUAAGGUCCGGGAUUUCACCCACCACCAUGGAAGUCCAGGAACAAUGCAAACUGGCAGAGAAAGGCCAUUUAUUAUUGAACUGAUACGCGCAUCAGUGGGAACCUCUUUCAUCAGAGUUCCGAGUUGCUUCUGACAGGCUGGGCUUUUUAUACUUUUAGUAGGCACCUUAUCUACUAUAUACCAUCCUUGGAAUUUUGCCUGCAUGUAUGGCUCUUAUCGGCUUCCUACUAUUCUUGGAACUUUGACAAUUCUAUAUUAUUGGGGUCUUCCUGGCCUGUUGUUUGACAUAUUUAUUGGGGUCCUCCUGGCCUUUAUCUGGUACCUACUGCAGCUGGCAGUUUGGCAUAUUUAUGGUUCUGACAAGUUUCUCAAGGCUGACCAGCUCAUUAGGCCUUCCUGCUAGGAUUUGGUAUAUUUACGGUUCUGACAGGUCAGCUUGUUAGGCCUUCCUGUUUUCUCAAGUUUGGCCAUUUUCCGGCCUCCCUCAGUAGAAGUAUUCAGAGUUAAAGGUAACUUUUAAGCUUUCUUAGUAAUCCUAAGUUUUGUGUUUGGAGGAAAAAUGCGAUGAGUUUCGGUUUUUUUAAGAGGUAAAAAGGAUCAUGAACUAUAACCUGAUUUUGAAUUUUUAAGGUAAAUUUCCAGAGUGCAAUCAUUACAAUAGAAAAGUUGUUGUUUAAAGACCAGUGAAUAAUGAUAAUUAAUUUACUUUUUAAGUGGAGAGAAUUAAUGGCUUUGUAAGCAUUAUUUCUGAUGACCUUUGGCAUAUAGCUGCUAAUAAAGAAAUUUCUCACCUGGGAAACUAAAAU
ensembl:lncRNA